rnacentral:rRNA from 1 species
AACGUAGGUGGCAAGCGUUAUCCGGAUUUACUGGGCGUAAAGGGUGUGCAGGCGGGGGUGCAAGUGGUGUUUGAAAUCUCCCGGCUUAACCGGGAGGGGUUAUGCCAGACUGCAAUUCUAGAGGACGAGAGAGGGGGGUGGAAUUCCGGGUGUAGUGGUGAAAUGCGUAGAGAUCCGGAGGAACCCCAGAGGCGAAGGCGGCCCCCUGGCUCGUACCUGACGCUCAGCCACGAAAGCAUGGGGAGCGAACGGG